UGGCUCAGAUUGAACGCUGGCGGAAUGCUUUACACAUGCAAGUCGAACGGCAGCACGGGGGCAACCCUGGUGGCGAGUGGCGAACGGGUGAGUAAUACAUCGGAACGUGCCCGAUCGUGGGGGAUAACGUAGCGAAAGCUACGCUAAUACCGCAUACGAUCUACGGAUGAAAGCGGGGGAUCGCAAGACCUCGCGCGAACGGAGCGGCCGAUGGCAGAUUAGGUAGUUGGUGGGGUAAAGGCUCACCAAGCCUGCGAUCUGUAGCUGGUCUGAGAGGACGACCAGCCACACUGGGACUGAGACACGGCCCAGACUCCUACGGGAGGCAGCAGUGGGGAAUUUUGGACAAUGGGCGAAAGCCUGAUCCAGCCAUUCCGCGUGCAGGAUGAAGGCCUUCGGGUUGUAAACUGCUUUUGUACGGAACGAAACGGCCUUUU
rnacentral:rRNA from 1 species